GGGUGGUAAUGCCGGAUGCUCCAGUUGAUCGCAUGGUCUUCUGGGAAAGCUUUCGCGGUAUGGGAUGGGGUCGCGUCCUAUCAGCUUGACGGCGGGGUGACGGCCCACCGUGGCUUCGACGGGUAGCCGGCCUGAGAGGGCGACCGGCCACAUUGGGACUGAGAUACGGCCCAGACUCCUACGGGAGGCAGCAGUGGGGAAUAUUGCACAAUGGGCGCAAGCCUGAUGCAGCGACGCCGCGUGAGGGAUGGAGGCCUUCGGGUUGUAAACCUCUUUUAUCGGGGAGCAAGCGAGAGUGAGUUUACCCGUUGAAUAAGCACCGGCUAACUACGUGCCAGCAGCCGCGGUAAUACGUAGGGUGCAAGCGUUAUCCGGAAUUAUUGGGCGUAAAGGGCUCGUAGGCGGUUCGUCGCGUCCGGUGUGAAAGUCCAUCGCUUAACGGUGGAUCCGCGCCGGGUACGGGCGGGCUUGAGUGCGGUAGGGGAGACUGGAAUUCCCGGUGUAACGGUGGAAUGUGUAGAUAUCGG
rnacentral:rRNA from 1 species